rnacentral:misc_RNA from 1 species
UGAUCUUUCGCGCCAAGCGGUGCUUMGUCUUCUCUCUCGUCGGCMUUGAUUGUUUCGCAGAUUGAUUUUCUCUCUGCGGGGUGGUCUAYUGUCGACUUUGGAGCGGAUGAUGCAAUACGUGCAGGCGCAUGAGUGGUGUUUUGCUUGUGUUGGUUGGUUGGAUCCUUGCUCUGGCAACGACGUCCAUCCUCGCAUGCAUCUUCAGUCGCGUCUCGAGAUACGUAGUACCUCGAGCUUGUUCUUGGUUUCUUGURUUGUGUACCUAUAAAAYGGCAACCGAUAGUCUAAACGUAACCUUUCGCCUUUCGUCGUCCUUCUCUGGGGUGAUGCAGGGUGAACCACGAAGCGACCUCUGUGUCCCACUCCACUCACGUUGAGUUGUGUUUGUGGAUUGGUCCAUAGGGUAUUUGCUUGAACUCUUGGAUGCGGUGCAUUUUAUGUGGGCAUGAGGACUCGYGUCCUCUCUCUGCCCAAACAAAAGCCUUCAACGCUUAGUUGCGGACGAUUGCGAUCCCCGUUACGAGCCUCUUGGCGAGUGCGGUGAUGGCUUCGUUGAGGAAUGC